rnacentral:rRNA from 1 species
GCCUAGCCGUAAACAAUUAACUCACACCAACCAACGCCAGGGAAUUACGAGCUAUGCUUAAAACCCAAAGGACUUGACGGUGUCCCACCCACCUAGAGGAGCCUGUUCUAUAAUCGAUGAUCCCCGAUACACCUAACCAUUCCUCGCCCAUCAGUCUGUAUACCUCCGUCGAAAGCCUACCAUGUGAACGCUUACAGUAGGCCCAAUGAUUCUCAUCAACACGUCAGGUCAAGGUGCAGCUUACGGAAUGGAAAGCAAUGGGCUACAAUUUCUAGUUUAGAACAAACGAAAGACUCUGUGAAACCUUAGUCAUGAAGGCGGAUUUAGUAGUAAAAGGAAAAUAGAGUGUUCCUUUUAACCUGGCUCUGGGACGCGU